rnacentral:rRNA from 1 species
UACGUAGGGUGCAAGCGUUAAUCGGAAUUACUGGGCGUAAAGCGUGCGCAGGCGGUUUUGUAAGUCUGAUGUGAAAUCCCCGGGCUCAACCUGGGAAUUGCAUUGGAGACUGCAAGGCUAGAAUCUGGCAGAGGGGGGUAGAAUUCCACGUGUAGCAGUGAAAUGCGUAGAGAUGUGGAGGAACACCGAUGGCGAAGGCAGCCCCCUGGGCCAAGAUUGACGCUCAUGCACGAAAGCGUGGGGAGCAAACAGG